rnacentral:rRNA from 1 species
AAUGGACGAAAGUCUGAUCCAGCCAUCCCGCGUGAAGGAUUAAGGCCCUAUGGGUUGUAAACUUCUUUUAUCAGGGAAUAAAAACUGGGAUUCAUCCUAGCUUGAAGGUACCUGAGGAAUAAGCACCGGCUAACUCCGUGCCAGCAGCCGCGGUAAUACGGAGGGUGCAAGCGUUAUCCGGAUUCACUGGGUUUAAAGGGUGCGUAGGUGGUUUUAUAAGUCAGUGGUGAAAGCCCGGAGCUUAACUCCGGAACUGCCAUUGAUACUGUUUAACUUGAAUCGAGUGGAGGUGGAUGGAAUAUUACAUGUAGCGGUGAAAUGCUUAGAUAUGUAAUAGAACACCGAUUGCGAAGGCAGUUCACUAUACUCGUAUUGACACUGAGGCACGAAAGCGUGGGGAUCAAA